GAUGAAGAACGCAGCGAAAUGCGAUACGUAAUGUGAAUUGCAGAAUUCAGUGAAUCAUCGAGUCCUUGAACGCACAUUGCGCCCCCUGGUAUUCCGGGGGGCAUGCCUGUCCGAGCGUCAUUGCUGCCCUCAAGCACGGCUUGUGUGUUGGGCCUCCGUCCUCCUCCCGGGGGACGGGCCCGAAAGGCAGCGGCGGCACCGCGUCCGGUCCUCGAGCGUAUGGGGCUUCGUCACCCGCUCUUGUAGGCCCGGCCGGCGCUUGCCGACACAUCAAUCUUUUUUCCAGGUUGACCUCGGAUCAGGUAGGGAUACCCGCUGAACUUAAGCAUAUCAAUAAGCGGAGGA
rnacentral:misc_RNA from 1 species